rnacentral:rRNA from 1 species
UAAUGGCAGGUCAGCAUACUGCCGUGAAUACGUUCCCGGGCCCUUGUACACACCGCCCGUCACACCAUGAGAGUUGGGGAUACCCGAAGCCUGUGAGCUAACUUUUAGAGGCAGCAGUCGAAGGUAGAAUCAAUGAUUGGGGUGAAGUCGUAACAAGGUAUC